UACGGGGGGGGCAAGCGUUGUUCGGAAUUACUGGGCGUAAAGGGCUCGUAGGCGGCCAACUAAGUCAUACGUGAAAUCCCUCGGCUUAACCGGGGAACUGCGUCUGAUACUGGAUGGCUUGAGUUCGGGAGAGGGAUGCGGAAUUCCUGGUGUAGCGGUGAAAUGCGCAGAUAUCAGGAGGAACACCGGUGGCGAAGGCGGCUCACUGGCCCGAUACUGACGCUGAGGUGCAAAAGCGUGGGGAGCAAACAGG
rnacentral:rRNA from 1 species